CCCAGCGUGGAUUUGGGAAAGGGCCCCAGCUCUGCUGCUCUGCCAAGUUGGCAGACGCUGAAGGUCUCUUUCUGGCUUGCUUCUAAGUCUUGUGUAACCUAUCCAUGCUGCAUUGUAAACGGGUGAAACCUAUUUUGUUGAUCCCCCAUCGUGGAGGCUUACAAACACGGUAUGUGAGAGGAAGAUGUUUCAUUUCUGAAUUCUGAUUGGUGCAAUUUUCUUGCAGUCUCAUUGACCAAGUGCCAGGCAAUUGUAUUCCACAUAUAAGUGAGAUCAUAUGGAAUAUAUCUUUAUUUUACUUUGCUUAACACCCUCUGAGUCAAUCCAUGUUGUCACAAAUGGCAAGAUUUCAUUCUUUUUUAUGGCUAAAUAAUAUUCCAUUGAAAGUAUGGCUGCUGGCUUCUCCCAGAGCAAGUGAUCCAAGAAAAAGAACAAGGAGGAAAUUGCAAUGCGUUCUAUGAUCUAGUCUUGGAAGUCAUACACUGUC